rnacentral:rRNA from 1 species
UCAGUCCUACGGGGGGCAGCAGUGAGGAAUAUUGGUCAAUGGCCGGAAGACUGAACCAGCCAUGCCGCGUGAAGGUCAGUGCCCUAUGGUCGUUAACCUUCUUUUGUGCGGGAGCAAUAAUGGUCACGUGUGGCCAGACGAGAGUACCGUACGAAUAAGCAUCGGCUAACUCCGUGCCAGCCGCCGCGGUAAUACGGGGGAUGCACGCGUUAUCCGGAUUUAUUGGGUUUAAUGGGUGCGUCGGCUGUGCGGUAAGUCAGCGGUGGAAUGCCCCCGCUCCCCGGGGCGCAGUGCCAUUGAUACUG